GGCUGCCAUCCCUUUUGCUGCAACCUGGAUGGAGAGGCUGUAAUGCUGCAUGUGGCUUUUAUUCCCACAACCCCUGGAGCUCCUGAGGAGGGUAUCGCAAAGUAAAUCUGAAUGGAAAACCAGCAGCCAAGGAGAGAUCCUAGGAAAUUUCUACAGAGGUGUUUUCUAAGAGGAAUUACACGCAGUAUUUUGGUUGGGUAUCUUGAGGAUAUAUGCUUUUCCAGUGAGCAGCCCAGAGAGGUUCAACUCCAUUUGCUGCCUGAAAGCUGCAGCGCUCAUGUCCUCCAGACUGCCCAUGGACAAGCUGUGACCAUGAGGCUGCUUUGUGGGGAACAAAGCCCACGUGUGGCUCUGGAAGGCAUGGUCCAGCCCAGCCUGGAUAACUACAAAUUUGGUCUUGACAGCAGCUUCCAGGAUGCUUGCUGUAGUCAGUGUGGGCCCAUGCACAUACAGCGAUGCCAGCUCAAGCGGUUCUUGGGUUAAGUACUUAUGUGAUAGUUACUGUUUUCAAAAUUUGUAAUUUUUGGUAGUGCUGCGUAUUCAGAGCAGUGCUCCAAGCAUGACUGGUAUGACUGUGAGUUAAUUAAAGAUACUGAAGUCACUGUUGAGAUUGUAACAAUCACAAUAAACAGU